UUAAUAAAAAUCGGCGUGUUGCUCUUUUGUGACGUUCCGGAGUUUGGGUCAUCUUAUAACAACACCUUUUCAGGGUAUUUUUAAGAGGCUUAAAAUUGACCUUUUUUGUGCAUUUUAGACGUACAUAAACUUUUUUUUAUUCGUCUAUCUUUAAUGCCAAAUCUAUUAGAUGCGACCAUAUCGUGUGGUUUCGUGUCUAUAAAUUUUUCAUG
rnacentral:misc_RNA from 1 species